UGAGCUGGGCUGUCAUCACUGAGUGGACCAGAGCAGGUAGGCGGAUGUGUUGAGGGAGCUUGUCCUCAGUCCUGUACUUACUGUUUUUGCGUCUCUCUGGAGAAUAAUAUGUGGACAUGAUCAGACUGUGGUCAGGAAAGGGUGGUGCUGUUGUUGUCACAGAGGAAAUGACCAGUGAGUUAAUUUUGGAUGGGAGCUUUUUGUUUCAGGAUCCGGCACAGGUGCCUGAGUAUAACAGAAGAGGAGGAGGCACUCACGUUCAAAUAGAAUGGGAUUUAGCCCCAUGUGGGUCAGUGUGCCUGUUGCCUAGGAAAGGGCACCUUGGAUGCCUCUCAGUUGGAAGAUAUUAUCUCCAGAUGGAGUCCUCUGCCUGCUGGCAAAGUCAACAGCAUUAUUUGGUGAAGGAGCCUCAGCUUUCCCGUGAUAAAAUUCAAAGAUCUCACCAACAAGUUGAGGUUUCAGGAGUUCUCAGAGAUCAAGGUAGCACGAUUCCUGCUAACUGGCUGGCACUGAUGGAAUUCAUCUACCUAGGAAUUGUGUCCCUGUGAUGCACUGAGAUGUUGUCUCCCUUCAAACUGCCUGACAGAACUAUGGCUUUGUGGCAUAUUUCUUCUUGGAGACCAGUAGGGAGUUAAUAAGCUGUUUAUGAUGGGAGCCAGAGCCUUCCUUAGAAAAUUUCCCUUUGUCUCUCUGGACCAUUUUGUCCUAUCCAAAACUUUGGGUCCAAAUGGCAAAACUGUAGUUUCUUCUUUCUUUUUAGUCUACAGAAAGCACUCUGUUGAUUUAUUUUGUGCUCCCCCCAUUUAAGAAGUCCAUUGGUCAACUCUUUCGGUGAGGCACCAACCCAAAACUGAAGGUGGGGAGAACUCUGUUUCCUAAGUGAUUUAAAGUAGAGAAACUCACAGAUGUGUUUACAGACAUGGCCCUGUACUCUGCAAGAGCUGGAACAACCUUUCUUCAUCCUUGCAGAAGCCACAGUGCAUCCUUGCAGUAUGCAGCAUCUUUCCCAGAUUGCAUCUGAAGAUCUUCUUUUAUAGUGACAACAGUGUUCUGCAAGCCAGUGGAGGUUUGUGAUGUUUGUGGCUACAUCUGCAACCUUUAUUCUCACCUGUCACUCAUCCGAAUGACCCAGAGCUAACUUAGAGCCCCAUUGCUUCCAGGUCCCGCUCUAGCUGUGGGACAAAUGGCUGAGAUAUAUCAAGCAGUAUCUUCCAUCUUCUGGCCACAGUUUUGUUUUAAGAAUAGACCAUAACAUCUGGACAAAUCCAAAUGGAAUGAAUCUUUGAUGAAUCAGCUGGGAAAGAUGAAAUGUUUCUCAGAGAGGAAUAAUGAAGCUACUCAGGAGGAAUCCAAGGAAGGCAGCAUGGAGAGCCUAGAUUACUAUGAUUUCUGGAUCAGCCUUGACUAAAGAUAAGUCUGUUGCUCUUAGGCACAGUUUUCAUUGUUUUAUUUAAACACAAAGGAAAUGUAUUUACUUUUUUGCUGUAAAGCCUGGCAUUAGGACAAAUGGCUCCAGCAGCCACCUGGGCUGCUCUUUUUAUGUUGGCCUUGAGGUUCUUGGAGGAACCAUUGGGAGCAAUCUCAGUACAGUAAAAUUAGUUACAUAUUAGCAGCAGUUCCUGCUCAAUGACAUUGUGGACCAGAAACUCCCAGAAGCCAUUUGGGAGGAAUAUGCUUUCUUAUUUUGUUGCUUUUAUCAACAACAUUGGGCACCAAUGUCUAGUCUUUGAAUUGCUCCCAAUCUCUGAUGUCAAUACCUCCAGGUUCCUGCUGGCUCACUUAAUUUUGACAUAUUCAUAUGACUGAUACUGGAGCAACUUCCCUGUCUUCUGUUCUAAGAUCUUGGCCUCUAUAAGAGAUGGAGAGUAGGUUUGAUAGCAAGUAGAAGGUGGCAAAGCUGGGAAGAGCUCCAAUCCAGUAUUCUGUAGUGUUUAGUAAGCCUAUUUGACUCGUGUUUUCUAUAUUUAGCAACUGAAAAUGUCCAUGUACACUCAGAAAAGUCUGAAGAAGUUGUAUACACAUGGCCUGGCUUUAACUUUAGACUGUUAACAAAGACUUAAAAGUAGUCUUUUUUAUUGUUUCUUUUUGUUUUACCACAUAUGGCAGGGCUAUCAAAGCUUGGGUAGGACUAAAAAUUUAUUAAACCAUAAUUUUCAUCAAAUUUUUAAUGUAUGAAAACACCAAUAAGCCACAAAGGACCAACAAUCCCACAGUCCAUGCAUUUUUUCAAUGAUAAAGAAAUAAGUUAUAUCUGUACCCAUGUUUUACAUUUCUUUAACAGGCCACUAGCUGAGAAGAUGGCAGCUCUACAAAAUGGUCUUUGUAGAAGUCAGAUCUUGGAGCUGAAGUUGUGCAAGUGACCUGUAGGUCCCACGGAGAUAAUCAAGCAAAUAUCCCAUUGGUUGCUCCCUAGCCUGUCAUGCUGCAUAGGCCAGUCGAGGCCCUUGUGAACUUAUGACAGGCUGAACUUAAGGACAUGAAUCCUUACUAUAAACAGCUUUGUCUAAGUUUUGAGCUACUUAUAUGUCAGCUUAUGAUUGUCUGUCUGUCAUCAAGAAGCACAGAGAGCUGGCCUAACAAUUUGUCAUGGGUUCACCAGUGAAAUUGAAAUAUCUUACUCUCCCAUUUUCAGAGUUCUGGACUGUAUGUAGUAAAUGAAGAGUAUCUUGAGAUCGUAAUUCAGGCCGUUAACGAAAAUCAAAGAAAAAGUCCACAGAGACUACCACCUUCACUCCUUACCAAGGCAGUCAAAAUUUGUGGGAGGCUGGGAAUUAAAAAAAUAUUGAAAUAAAACAACACAAAGGAAUAUCAUCUGUAACCCAACAUGAAAUGCUGCAGUUAUUCAGAAUAAAUUCAUUUCUGUUCAUCUUUGAGCAUGAGAAAGUAUUAUUAGUUCUAAGAGAUCAACUAACAUUUAUUUUUAAUCAGUAAAACUAAAAUAUGUACAUUCAUUCCAUGAUAGCCAAAAACAAGUUGACAACAUGCUACUUAAAGAGUUCUUCCAGCACUAACAAAUACAGUCCACGCCUCCCUUUGGGCUGGCUUUACCUCAGUGUGGUGGCUAUGACAAAGAGGAGGAAAACGACAGGUGACAUUGCCCAUUGCUCAUUUGGAGAUCACAAAGCAUCAUUCAAGGACAAGUGUGCUUCCAGUCUUGAACUUGAACUGUCCGUUUUCUGCUUUCUCUCCAUGCUCAUUAUGCGGUUUCUCUCUGGGCCCCCAUGGACUGGUAGUAGCACCCUGCUACACGAUUUUGAUGUAUUUUGAAUUAUUACUUCACAUACUUGCAUCUGUUCCUGGACCAUGUACUUCUCAACAGUGAAAAGAAUGAAAACUGCCAUUUGAAAGGGAAUCGCUUGUGUCAGUCUUAAAUAAAAGAAGUAGAUAAA